AUUGAACGCUGGCGGCAUGCCUUACACAUGCAAGUCGAACGGCAGCGGGCCUUCGGGUGCCGGCGAGUGGCGAACGGGUGAGUAACAUAUCGGAACGUACCCCGUCGUGGGGGAUAACACAGCGAAAGCUGUGCUAAUACCGCAUACGACCUGAGGGUGAAAGCGGGGGAUCGCAAGACCUCGCGCGAUGGGAGCGGCCGAUAUCGGAUUAGCUUGUUGGUGAGGUAAAGGCUCACCAAGGCGACGAUUUGUAGCUGGUCUGAGAGGACGACCAGCCACACUGGAACUGAGACACGGUCCAGACUCCUACGGGAGGCAGCAGUGGGGAAUUUUGGACAAUGGGCGCAAGCCUGAUCCAGCCAUUCCGCGUGCAGGACGAAGGCCUUCGGGUUGUAACUAGCUUUGUACGGUAGCGAAAGGGUCCUGCCUAAUACUGGGGCGAUAUGACGGUACCGUAAGAAUAAGCACGGCUAACUACGUAGCCAGCAGCCGCGGUAAGU
rnacentral:rRNA from 1 species